rnacentral:misc_RNA from 1 species
AAGUCGUAACAAGGUUUCCGUAGGUGAACCUGCGGAAGGAUCAUUAUUAAUUCUUCUAGUUAAGCGGCUGCGCGUUAAAAAACGUGGCUGUUUUUCUUGUGAACUGGGGCUGUCGCUUGGGUUAACGCUCAAGUGGCAGUCUGGCUUUAAUGCUCUUGUGUUAAUUUUUUUGUUUUUGCUUUCUUAAGUUUAACCGCUUAAGAAAAUAAUCACAAGACAACUUUCAGCAAUGGAUCUCUUGGCUCUU